CAAUUGGGGAAAUAUUUUAUUCAAACAAAUGCAUAACCAAAAUGGAUGGUUUUCUACUUAUUACCGAUCUUCCCACCGAAUAGAAAUCUAUUGUUUAUAAAUACUAGAGAUAAAGUAGUGACUUCAAAUAUUAAUGAAUAUCAGAGAGUUAUCCAUCAGAACAAUAAUCUUGCCUAUCUAUUAAAAAUAGGUGAAUUUAGGCCAGCAGAUUUAGUAAUGUGCCAAGCAUAAUUGGUAUAAGGAGCCAUAGAAACACUUAUUGAUGAUGGGUCUCAUGAGCAACCAACGAGGGAUGGUCAUAGUAAAGUAUACAAAUCACUUUCAGAUGUAAAUGAAGGUAAAGAAGGAUGGUUUAGAGAGACUCUGCUUGAGAAAUGGGUCAAUUACUCAUGGUGUCCUGUCAUUGUUGUGGGUCGUUCGCUUUCAUUACAUAUGUGGAUUACCACUAGACAUAGAGAUAAAGUUUUUUCAACUAUUUGUAAUUCGUGAUUUUUUUUUGAAAAACCCCACCCAUAUAUUAAUAAAAUUAAUAUGUUCAUACAAUCAUUCGUUGCAGCAUUUGUCACACAGGCCGGAACACUAUUAACAAGAGCACCAUCAGACCUAUUAAUAAAACUAAACUUAGCCACCUCAUGUGCCACUAUAUUAGCUUUCCUGCUAAUCUUGCAGAUCUUUAAAUUCGGCAACAUCUUAGAGAUACUCAAAGCUUCCUUCUUUAGGUCAACAAGGGGUGACCCGUCGAUACUGUCUUUUCCAAAAACAGAGGCCACAAAAGAACAAUCGGUUUCUAAAAUGAUGGGUUUGUGA
rnacentral:rRNA from 1 species